rnacentral:tRNA from 1 species
CCAAAGUGCAAAUUUGGAGCAGCACCCUAAAAGGUGCCGGGGCUUCUCCCGUUU